GAGGGAAACGCCCGGUCACAUUCCGAACCCGGAAGCUAAGACUCUCAGCGCCGAUGGUACUGCAGGGGGGACCCUGUGGGAGAGUAGGACACCGCCGGAA
rnacentral:rRNA from 1 species